rnacentral:sRNA from 12 species
CGGGUGAAGUUCGUCGGCAGCGGUGCCGCGCGUCGGCGCGACAUGCACUGCACAUCGGCUCUGGAGAACACCCUCGGGUGCCACCUGAUGUGAGCUGUCCUGCUUGGCGUCAGGCAGAAAUAUGGCGUGCUCG